rnacentral:tRNA from 1 species
CAGAAAAUAGUUUAGCGCAGAAUUCUAGCUUUGGGUGCUAGAGGUGAGAGUUAAAAUCUCUUUUUUCUGG